GAUGAACGCUGGCGGCGUGCCUAAUACAUGCAAGUCGAGCGAAUGGAUUAAGAGCUUGCUCUUAUGAAGUUAGCGGCGGACGGGUGAGUAACACGUGGGUAACCUGCCCAUAAGACUGGGAUAACUCCGGGAAACCGGGGCUAAUACCGGAUAACGUUUUGAACCGCAUGGUUCGAAAUUGAAAGGCGGCUUCGGCUGUCACUUAUGGAUGGACCCGCGUCGCAUUAGCUAGUUGGUGAGGUAACGGCUCACCAAGGCAACGAUGCGUAGCCGACCUGAGAGGGUGAGCGGCCACACUGGGACUGAGAAACGGCCCAGACUCCUACGGGAGGCAGCAGUAGGGAAUCUUCCGCAAUGGAAGAAAGUCUGACGGAGCAACGCCGCGUGAGUGAUGAAGGCUUUCGGGUCGUAAAACUCUGUUGUUAGGGAAGAACAAGUGCUAGUUGAAUAAGCUGGCACCUUGACGGUACCUAACCAGAAAGCCACGGCUAACUACGUGCCAGCCGCCGCCGUAA
rnacentral:rRNA from 1 species